UCGGACCAGUGAUAUUGAGGUGCCGUUGGCCAUGGGCGCAUAUGUCCAUAGCUAGGAGUAGGAUUGUUAGUUUGUUACAACAUACGGAUGAUAUGCACACGGAAGGGUGAUUUAAACAAGCCAGAAUUGUUUCUGCUAUGAUCCGCAGCAUAGAUGGGGGAUUUUAAAAUGUCAGACAAGAAAGUUAUCGGCCUGGUACUAUGACAUGAGUAAAUCAUUCGCGCGUCGUUUGUAUAAUCAUGACUUCGGGCUGUCUGUUUCGAUCUAUGGUUGCUUCUUUCGAUCCAACAUUGAGGUCAUUCGUGAGCGAGAUUGGACGGCACCAUGGCACCACUACUGCUCCGCCGGAUGCAUGGUCUGAUUCUUGUUUUUGUAUUGGUUAGAUUACUUGCUUAUGUCUUUGUAACACCCUCGAUGCGACUAUAUCUCCCACGUGUCGAGG